rnacentral:lncRNA from 1 species
GGUCCGAGAACACAAUUAUUUCGUAGUGCAUUUCUUUUAGAACAUAAAUGAAAAUAAAAAAAAUCCCACCUGCGCUUUCUCAAAGAAACUUUUACAGUGUGUUGUACUACUUUUGGGACAAAUUGUAUCAAAAUUAUAGAAAACUUCAUCGGCUCUAACUCAAAAUAUGGACAAUUUUAUGUUUAGGGUGCCUUGAAAUCUUUUGACAGCUUCCGAAGUGCUAAUUUUCAACCUUUUUCAGCUGGACCAAAUCACUACUUUCCUUUAAAAUUCUGGACCCAAAUUUUUUUACAGGGUAAUUUCACCCCCCUACUUGCAAUUUGAGGCAUUAAACAUGGAAAAAUAAAUUGGGAAGGGGUAUACAAAUUAAUGGCAAGUAACCCACUGUCAACACUAGGGACUAUAUUCGUGAACAACGAAAAUCAAGGGACGACCAUUGUGGUCUCGGACCACCUUA